rnacentral:rRNA from 1 species
UACAGAGGGUGCAAGCGUCAAUCGGAAUUACUGGGCGUAAAGCGUGCGCAGGCGGCUUUGCAAGACAGAUGUGAAAUCCCCGGGCUCAACCUGGGAACUGCAUUUGUGACUGCAAGGCUAGAGUACGGCAGAGGGGGAUGGAAUUCCGCGUGUAGCAGUGAAAUGCGUAGAUAUGCGGAGGAACACCAAUGGCGAAGGCAAUCCCCUGGGCCUGUACUGACGCUCAUGCACGAAAGCGUGGGGAGCAAACAGG